rnacentral:lncRNA from 1 species
UAUUGAAAAUAAGUUCAACAAUUAAGCUAGACUACCAAAACACAAAAACUCUAGGAACAUCUUGAUGAUUGCAAUCAAAUAACAUAAGCAUGAAUAACAAGAAGAGAUCAGAUAUCAUAUACCAACAUGAAGAUGAUGAUUUGAUAAUUUUGAGAUCUCCACAAGAUUUCAAAGUAGAAGCCCUCCAAUGAAGAUCCACACGGGACUGAUCAGGGCCCUUUCCAAUUCGAGGUAGUGCUACAGUCUUCUUUGCAAGUAUGCUGC